GUGGGGAAUCUUGCGCAAUGGGCGAAAGCCUGACGCAGCCAUGCCGCGUGAAUGAUGAAGGUCUUAGGAUUGUAAAAUUCUUUCACCGGGGACGAUAAUGACGGUACCCGGAGAAGAAGCUCCGGCUAACUUCGUGCCAGCAGCCGCGGUAAUACGAAGGGGGCUAGCGUUGCUCGGAAUUACUGGGCGUAAAGGGCGCGUAGGCGGACAGCUUAGUCAGAGGUGAAAGCCCAGGGCUCAACCUUGGAAUUGCCUUUGAUACUGGCUGUCUUGAGUUUGGGAGAGGCGAGUGGAACUCCGAGUGUAGAGGUGAAAUUCGUAGAUAUUCGGAAGAACACCAGUGGCGAAGGCGACUCACUGGCCCAAUACUGACGCUGAGGCGCGAAAGCGUGGGGAGCAAACAGGAUUAGAAACCCUGGUAGUCC
rnacentral:rRNA from 1 species